GAAUAUUAAGUGCAGUGGUGUUUGCAAUUAAUGAUCACAACCAGUUACAGAUUGCUUUGUUCUUUCUCCUGCUGCUUCACUUGCCUAUGCUUUA
ensembl:misc_RNA Y_RNA Y RNA